CGGGGCUUACGGGGCGCAGCAGUGGGGAAUAUUGCACAAUGGGCGCAAGCCUGAUGCAGCCAGGCCGCGUGUAUAAGGAAGGCCUUCGGGUUGUAAAGUACUUUCAGCGGGGAGGAAGGGAGUAAAGUUAAUACCUUUGCUCAUUGACGUUACCCGCAGAAGAAGCACCGGCUAACUCCGUGCCAGCAGCCGCGGUAAUACGGAGGGUGCAAGCGUUAAUCGGAAUUACUAGGCGUAAAGCGCACGCAGGCGGAU
rnacentral:rRNA from 1 species